UACGAAGGGGGCUAGCGUUGCUCGGAAUUACUGGGCGUAAAGGGCGCGUAGGCGGACAGUUUAGUCAGAGGUGAAAGCCCAGGGCUCAACCUUGGAACUUGCCUUUGAUACUGGCUGUCUUGAGUUCGGGAGAGGUGAGUGGAAUGCCGAGUGUAGAGGUGAAAUUCGUAGAUAUUCGGCGGAACACCAGUGGCGAAGGCGACUCACUGGCCCGAUACUGACGCUGAGGCGCGAAAGCGUGGGGAGCAAACAGGG
rnacentral:rRNA from 1 species